UACGUAGGGGGGGAGCGUUGUCCGAAGUUACUGGGCGUAAAGGGCGCGUAGGCGGCGCGGUAAGUCACUUGUGAAAUCUCUGAGCUUAACUCAGAACGGCCAAGUGAUACUGCAGUGCUAGAGUGUGGAAGGGGCAAUCGGAAUUCUUGGUGUAGCGGUGAAAUGCGUAGAUAUCAAGAGGAACACCUGAGGUGAAGACGGGUUGCUGGGCCAACACUGACGCUGAGGCGCGAAAGCCAGGGGAGCAAACGGG
rnacentral:rRNA from 1 species